UUUCCGUAGGUGAACCUGCGGAAGGAUCAUUAAUGAGUUGUCAUGGGGUUCGAUGCUGGCAGCCAAUUUUUGGGUGCAUGUGCUUGCCCUAACAAUCAUCUUCCAAACACCUGUGCACAUUUUUGAGGGAGUCUUGAGUUGGUUGCCGCUCUUGGGUGAUUUUCUCACAUUCCCUUAAAUCAUUAUACGCUAUUAACAAUGUUGAACGUGCUCUGUGCCGCAAGGCUAUUAAUAUAAUACAACUUUUAACAACGGAUCUCUUGGCUCUC
rnacentral:misc_RNA from 1 species